UACGUAGGGUGCAAGCGUUGUCCGGAAUUAUUGGGCGUAAAGAGCUCGUAGGCGGUCUGUCGCGUCGGCUGUGAAAACUCGGGGCUCAACCCCGAGCCUGCAGUCGAUACGGGCAGACUAGAGUCCGGCAGGGGAGGCUGGAAUUCCUGGUGUAGCGGUGAAAUGCGCAGAUAUCAGGAGGAACACCGGUGGCGAAGGCGGGUCUCUGGGCCGGAACUGACGCUGAGGAGCGAAAGCGUGGGGAGCGAACAGG
rnacentral:rRNA from 1 species